rnacentral:misc_RNA from 1 species
ACAAACUUGGUCAUUUAGAGGAAGUAAAAGUCGUAACAAGGUUUCCGUAGGGUGGGUUUUUCCUUAUUUUGUACGCGGCACUACUAACUCUUUUAGUGAACCUGCGGAAGGAUCAUUACCGAGUCCCCUGCUUGCAGGAACUCCACCCUUGGUUACUGCCGUUGCUUCGGCGAGACGUUGGAAACAGCCAUCGGCAUGCCGAUGCGCGCUCGCCGGAGUCAAACUCCUGAACUAUGUGCGGUCAGAGAAUCAAGCAAUCUUGAAAACUUUCAACAACGGAUCUCUUGGCUUCGGCAUCGAUGAAGAACGCAGC